rnacentral:rRNA from 1 species
CGUAGGUGGCAAGCGUUGUCCGGAAUUAUUGGGCGUAAAGCGCGCGCAGGCGGUCCUUUAAGUCUGAUGUGAAAGCCCGCGGCUUAACCGCGGAGGGUCAUUGGAAACUGGAGGACUUGAGUGCAGAAGAGGAGAGUGGAAUUCCACGUGUAGCGGUGAAAUGCGUAGAGAUGUGGAGGAACACCAGUGGCGAAGGCGACUCUCUGGUCUGUAACUGACGCUGAGGCGCGAAAGCGUGGGAGCAAACAGGAUU